UACGUAGGGUGCGAGCGUUAAUCGGAAUUACUGGGCGUAAAGGGUGCGUAGGCGGGUCUUUAAGUCAGGGGUGAAAUCCUGGAGCUCAACUCCAGAACUGCCUUUGAUACUGAGGAUCUUGAGUACGGGAGAGGUGAGUGGAACUGCGAGUGUAGAGGUGAAAUUCGUAGAUAUUCGCAAGAACACCAGUGGCGAAGGCGGCUCACUGGCCCGUUACUGACGCUGAGGCACGAAAGCGUGGGGAGCAAACAGG
rnacentral:rRNA from 1 species